CCUGGAUUUGAGGCGGUGACUUGUCUGACUCCAUUUCUCCUUCUUAGGACGUGGGACGAUGCACUCGGGUGUGCUCCGUUCUGUCUCUUCCCCAGAUUGUCAAGGCAUCUACCUCCAAGUCUUGCAGAAUUUACUCACCGGAUAAGAAGUCGGGAGGCUGAGGUCAGGCCCAGCUUGAGUCAUGGUCAUCUUCUGGGAUCUUAGCUUCUUCCUGUAAGGGAUAGGCUGUGCGACCAAAGUCAUUGGUUAGUGGCAUGUUGAGUGUGGAUGACGUCCAGGAAUGUCUUUGAAGGGUAAAAGCACCCCCUUCUCAUUACCCUUUUUGGUUGGACAGAUGCAGCCAGCUGGCUUAGAAGAGCCACCUGGGUCCCAGAGUUGGAAGCUCCAUGCUGAGGAGGUCCAGCAAUAAGUUGCACGCAGCUGGGGCCUCUGAUGACUCACACACAGAGUGACCACUGAAACAUCUGCAUGAGAGAGAAGUAAACAUUCAUCUUUUAAGCUCCACUGUAUUUGAGAGCCUUUCUGACAUUCACGAUUAAAUUUCAUGCUCACCCAUAUAGAAUUUUGUCCCGAGCUGUGAAGCACACUUGUCCUGAAUGUGAAGCAGGAACCUCAGGAGGAUAUAGGCUGCAAGGACCCAGACACCACAGACUAGAAAGAUGGCAACCCCUGUGAGGUAGGAGCAAAAACAUGUGGUCAAAUUGCAUCUCCGAAGACAGACCAGAUGUUUGCGGAAAUGGUUUUGGAAAAUCAGCAUGCUGGUGGUGCUA